rnacentral:rRNA from 1 species
UACGUAGGGGGCGAGCGUUGUCCGGAAUUACUGGGCGUAAAGGGCGUGUAGGCGGCCCUUCAAGUCGGCUGUGAAAGUCCCCGGCUCAACCGGGGGAUUGCAGUCGAAACUGGGGGGCUUGAGUGCAGGAGAGGAGGGUGGAAUUCCCGGUGGAGCGGUGAUAUGCGUAGAUAUCGGGAGGAACACCGGUGGCGAAGGCGACCUUCUGGCCUGUUACUGACGCUGAGGCGCGAAAGCCGGGGGAGCAAAC